GCGUAUCGGAUGUUCCGAUUCCGCGUAGGCCGUGCAAACGGCUAAGUCAAACAGAAAGUAGAAAACACAUGGCCACUGGCACUGUGAAAUGGUUCAACGCUGAAAAGGGCUUCGGCUUCAUCGCUCCCGAUGACGGCUCGGACGACCUUUUCGCCCACUACUCGGCUAUCGCCGGCUCCGGUUUCAAGGAGCUCCGCGAGAACCAGAAGGUCGAAUUCGACGCUGAGCGUGGCCCCAAGGGCAUGCAGGCGGCGAACAUCCGCGCUCUCUGAGCGCGCGCUGACUUCCUGAACCGGCCGGACCCCUCGGGGUCCGGCCGGUUU
rnacentral:sRNA from 1 species